CCUUUCCUGACGCUUCCUAGUGAACAGAGUCGUUUCAGACAAACCCCUCUUUCCUGGGAGGACUCAGUUUCCCCAGUGGGAGGGAGGAUCCUUUCACAGUCUCCCUCCCAAGCACGCUCCUAAUUGAAUGGUGGCUAUAAAAAUAAUCUUUAGAGAGACGGAGUCUGUAUUUAGCAGGCUUGUUUUCUCUCCUACUAACUUCAGUUCAUUGAGAAACCCAUUUGUUGCCAUGGGAGCAAAACUGAGUUCCCUCCCCUAGUUUCGUGUCUGUUGAAUAUUUGGCUGGUACUUGCCCCGAGUUUGUUCUAGAACAAUGGUUUAGCCAGGUCCCACCACCUCCCUACGACAUGCUAAGCCAUAGCCUCUGGUGAGCAAGGGUAUGUGUACACAAAGUCUAGGGCCCAUUGCAGAGUCAGGGUGGGGAGGAUGAACCAACAACCACCAGACUCAAAGGAAACACCCAACAGCAUCCUUCCGUUUCAUGCCUCCUUUCCCUACUGAUGCAAAAAAAAAAAAAAAAAA
rnacentral:lncRNA from 1 species